GGGACCAAUGGCCCGGGGUGGAGGGGGGGGGGUGUUGUUGCAGAGGUUUGGAGCCACUUGUGGGGGUGUAGUACAGCUAAUGGAGUUGGCAGAGAGGGAGGUGUGUGGGGUUGGGAUGGUUUGCUGACCGUGGCGAAUAGUUGCACCAGGUACGGUUAACUUCUGGUACAAACCUGCUGGCUGCUUUAAUCCGUCUCCGUCCACAGCGGAGAGUUGCAGGGUGAGGGAGUGACCUGUGUGAGGGGUUGACAACUGGCACCCCCCACCCCCCAUAUCCCCUCCCGCCCAACCACUGGGAGAACAGCAUUGGGAGAGCAAAGAUUUCCAAGUGCAAAAUCAAUCGAACUUACUACUUUCACCCCCAUCCCAUCCUAUCCCAUCCCACCAAAGAAUAGUUGGUUGCACUGUAUCCAUACAAUGCUAGGUAGUUCCUUGGCAAAUUCCGUCACACUUCCCUCCGAAUGGGCAACUGGUGACACACAAGGGGUAAGGAACAGAAGGAGAUGGGGGGAGAUGGAGAGGUUGGGAGGAGGCUGAAGUAGAGAGAAGCAUCAGCCAGAUACUGAGUGAACUGGUGGCUCAGUCCAAGGGGAAGAGUGAAGCUGGCUGGGAGAAGGAUAAGAUAAGAACAGAGCUUGGAAUGGAGUGUCUGUAUCAGGAGAGUGACACUGAGCUAACCCUGUGGCUGAAAUCUUCGUUCCUUAAACCAUUCCAGUGUUGGAGUCUGUGAUCCGAGCGCUGUGGAGGGACGGCGCUGGUGUUUCAUCACACGGACUGUCUGCUUAUCUGGAGAAGACUUCCACCUCUCCUUUCUCUGCACUGCUCUUUUGCGGGACUAAUUACUGGUGAGCCCUGCAGGUUGUGUCGCUGUUUAUCGCACUGGCAGUGUUUAGUGAUCACUGACUGCGUAGUGCCUUGUCAUGACGGCUGUAACGGCUCGAAGGUGGUGGGACCUACACAGCAGUUGCAGCUCCUGGAGGCAUGGCUCCUGUGAAGAUGUCACCUUUCAGACUGUUGACUUUGUAAAAUGCUGUGCCUCUGUCUGUGCCUCCGUCAGUCAGCCUGGAUGGUGGUUUCCAGGCCAUGUCCGAGACUGUGGGGGGGGGGGGGGAAGCGAGGCAAGUGUUGUUGCGUUUACUUAGAUGUUCUGUAAUAUUGAGUUUUUUGCUGUCUGAGAUGGAAAAUAAUUUGAAGAGUGUGUGAAAUAUGCAAUAAACUAACUGUUAAAAAAAAGGGGCAGUACUGAGGGAGUGCCGUGCUGUGGGAGGGGCAGUACUGAGGGAGGUGCCAUCAUUUGGAUGAUGCAAAACCAGGCGGUGUGUGUCAGGUGGAUGAAAAGACCCCAGGGAUACAAUUAGGGUGGAUAGGAAGUGAGCUUCUGCACAGGGCCCUGGGGCCAAAGUUUACCACCAACCAGUAUCCCAGAUGGACAUCACAACUCUGUGGGAGCUUGCUGUGCACAAAUGGAUUACUCUGUUUCUGCUCUACAACAGUGACCACACUUCAGGAAGGCCCACACUGGCGGUCAGCAGGGGACAUUCUGAAGUGUGCUGGGCACCGGGGGAACACCAAAAAUUUUGGCAUCUCUGACAAAGUGACAAAGUAGGGUUUGUUAUGUAAAGUUCUCAGGGACAAGAGCGUUUUACUGAAAUCCAGUAAAGGCAAGAAAUGGCAAGUUAAG